GUCUGGACCGCAUGACAGAGAUAAAAAUAGAACACUAAGAGUGAAGGUUCAAAAAAUUAGGCAGAAGCUAGGCAUUCGCUUUUCAUUGUAAAAAACAGGAUUUUACUGACACUUGGGUCUGUAGCCAAGCAUCUCAAGCCUCCGGAACCUAGAAGAAUUCCCCCGAAAGUGAUGUUUUGCCUCUCCCAUGCCUGGUCUAUCCCUGGGUUGUAUGUGGCUACGAGCUGGGCAGGAGGUCUGUAAUGAAGCUAGAAAAAGAUGAAGGCAGAAAGUCUAACUCAUCUUUAGCCUCCAGCAUCCUGAGUUUAUGACCAUACCCACCUCUGUUGACUCAAGCUGGAAAAGACUGAUGGAUCUCCUCACUUCCUCCCAUACCACUUCAAAGGGCAUUGACAGCUAACACAGCAAGAGAGAAAUCUUAAUUACUCUGGCUGCCUCCAAUGAGGAAACAGGAAAGUUGAAAAUGAGUGAAAGUUAUAAAAGGUGC